AAAUUAUAAUUAUAAUAUCAAUAAUACAACUGUACAUCUUUGAAAAGCAGAAGUGGAGCCUUCUACACAACCAGCAAGAAUUUAGCGAGUGGUUUCUGGAUGGAAAGUCAACAA